rnacentral:lncRNA from 1 species
GGCGCCGGCAGGCGGAGCAGUGGGAGGAGCCUGGGCGAGGGCUGGAGGACCCGGGUGCGAACCGGUGAUACGAGAGGCAGGGCAAGGUGUCAACAUGGAAGAGCCGGGAUGGGAAGACAUCUACUUUUAUAUUAACAAUUUAGCGAACCACAUCUGUUGAGCCUCUGUGAGACCUCAGCGACUCUAUUGAAUAAUAAGCUGGACAGCAGUUUAGUGCUUAGAGCUCAGAGUAUAGCCCGUGUGGGGCUACAGGGAUCAAGAAGAACUUAAGAAUCUUUACAUUCACUUGAAAAUGCCUGCUGAAUUUCUGGAUCUUGAGUUAAGGGUCUUUUUGGGGCCAACUCUCACUGCUGAAAAUCCUGCGUAUGAUGCUGCCACGAAGAAUGAGUUCUCCUUCUGAUCUUUCUCACGAAGCUAAUCUCAUUGGGUCUGCUUGUGAAAAGAAUGCAGACACAGCAGCACAUACUAAGCUGAGGGCUCCCCUCCAUCCUCUGGUUUCAAACACAUGUGGCCCACCACGGCAGGCACCAGAUGAGCUAACCCUAAAUGAAGAAAACUGCUGAGAGAAGGAGCAAGUGUACUUGGUGUGCAGGCCAAGCUCAAUUUUCUUCACCAUUUUCCUGAGAGAGGCACCGUAACCAGUCCUGUAUUUGUCAACGAUUCGGAUCUUCUCGAUCCGUUCAGCCAUCUCUCUGCAAGCUGCCUCUCAGCCCAGAGAGGAAGCCACUCCCUUUAUUCUAAAGUCAACCAAUCAUCGUACAAAGUGACUGCAUCCCAGGAGAUUUGGCAAUUGAGGUCUUAAACUGGUUAGACUCAACCUGGCUUCUCUUUAUCACCAUCCAUUGGGUAAGGGCCUCAUGAGGACGAUGAUAGACGUUUUCUUUGCACAUCUGAGUGAGACAGACUCUUAAGAUGGGUCCCAAUUAUCUCUGUUUCCUCGUAUUCAUUCCCGUAUGGAAUCUCCUCUUCUCUGAGUGUGGGAGAGACCUGUGACUUGCUUCUAAACAAGAGAAUAUGGCAAAGGUGAUGUCACUUCUGUGAUCAUGUUACAUAGAUUGUAACUUCCGUCUUGCUAGCAGACUCUCUGAUGAUUCUCUCCCUUUGCUGGCUUUGAUGAAAUAACCCACCAUACGGAGAGGCCCACGUGGCAAGGAACUGAAGCAGGCCUCCAGCUGACAGCAGCAAGGAAGAAAGGUCCUUAGUCAGAUAACCCACAAUGAACCGAAUCCUGCCAACAACCAUAUGAACUUGGAAGUGGAUCCUUCCCCAUUCGAGCCUCAGAUGAGACCCCAGCCCUGGUCAACAUCUUGACUGCAGUCUUGUGAGAGCUCCUGAUAAAGAGGACUCACUAAGCCAUGCCCAGACUCCUGACCCAUGAAAUGGGGAGAUAAUAAAUGUGUGCUGUUUCAAGUUG